GCCAGUAUGGCAUAGUGCUUUUAGUGUUGGACUAUGACUCUGGAAACCAGGGUUUGAUUCCCUGCUUGGCCA